CGGAUGAAUGACUGAGUGGCGCACGGGUGAGUAACGCGUGGGGACCUGCCCUUCAGUACGGAAUAACUCCGGGAAACUGGGACUGAUACCGUAUACGCCCUAAGGGGGAAAGAUUUAUCGCUGAAGGAUGGACCCGCGUCUGAUUAGUUUGUUGGUGGGGUAAUGGCCUACCAAGACUACGAUCAGUAGCUGGUUUGAGAGAAUGAUCAGCCACACUGGGACUGAGACACGGCCCAG
rnacentral:rRNA from 1 species